AGGUCAUAGUGAUCCGGUGGUUCUGAAUGGAAGGGCCAUCGCUCAACGGAUAAAAGGUACUCCGGGGAUAACAGGCUGAUACCGCCCAAGAGUUCAUAUCGACGGCGGUGUUUGGCACCUCGAUGUCGGCUCAUCACAUCCUGGGGCUGAAGUAGGUCCCAAGGGUAUGGCUGUUCGCCAUUUAAAGUGGUACGCGAGCUGGGUUUAGAACGUCGUGAGACAGUUCGGUCCCUAUCUGCCGUGGGCGCUGGAGAACUGAGGGGGGCUGCUCCUAGUACGAGAGGACCGGAGUGGACGCAUCACUGGUGUUCGGGUUGUCAUGCCAAUGGCACUGCCCGGUAGCUAAAUGCGGAAGAGAUAAGUGCUGAAAGCAUCUAAGCACGAAACUUGCCCCGAGAUGAGUUCUCCCUGACUCCUUGAGAGUCCUGAAGGAACGUUGAAGACGACGACGUUGAUAGGCCGGGUGUGUAAGCGCAGCGAUGCGUUGAGCUAACCGGUACUAAUGAACCGUGAGGCUUAACCUUACAACGCCGAAG
rnacentral:rRNA from 1 species